rnacentral:rRNA from 1 species
GGACGAACGCUGGCGGCGUGCCUAACACAUGCAAGUCGAGCGGGGAUUUAAGUGGAAGUUCUUCGGAAUGGAGAUUUAAAUUCUAGCGGCGGACGGGUGAGUAACGCGUGAACAAUCUGUCCCGGACAGGGGGAUAACACUUGGAAACAGGUGCUAAUACCGCAUAAGACCACGGCCUCGCAUGGGGCUGAGGUAAAAGGAGCAAUCCGGUUCGGGGUGAGUUCGCGUCCGAUUAGCUAGUUGGUGAGGUAACGGCCCACCAAGGCGACGAUCGGUAGCCGGCCUGAGAGGGUGAACGGCCACAUUGGAACUGAGAGACGGUCCAAACUCCUACGGGAGGCAGCAGUGGGGAAUAUUGGGCAAUGGGCGAAAGCCUGACCCAGCAACGCCGCGUGAGGGAAGAAGGUUUUCGGAUUGUAAACCUCUGUCCUAUGGGACGAAGGAAGUGACGGUACCAUAGGAGGAAGCCCCGGCUAACUACGUG